CAUCACGAUCCCAUUGUUCGUUGUCGUUGCUUCCGUGCUUAGGAAGUGUUGUGUUGUGCUGUUCUACGUCGGGAAUAAUCUUGUUUGCACGGUUGCUUGGUUACGCCAAGGGAGUACGCGAACUCUGUGUACUGCUAAGAAUGUUUGCAUGAAUUGUGGAUUUGGUUUUUCUGAAAAAUGGGGAACUUCUCUGUUUUUGAGGUGGUCCUCUUGAACUCUUAAGUAAAUCCUGGGUGAACUUCGACAGAACUAAUCUAACAAGACGAACAUAUGAAGUUCUGAAGUUAAAAACUCUCAAGCCAGGAUAACUUCGUCACAGACUUUGUCAAAAAUUAAAUAUUUUCCUUUUAAGUUUGGCCAAGGAAGCUUCGCCAU